GAUGAACGCUGACAGAAUGCCUAACACAUGCAAGUCAACUUGAAUUUGGGUUUUUAACUUAGAUUUGGGUGGCGGACGGGUGAGUAACGCGUAAAGAACUUGCCUCACAGCUAGGGACAACAUUUAGAAAUGAAUGCUAAUACCUGAUAUUAUGGUUAUAGGGCAUCCUAUAAUUAUGAAAGCUAUAAGCACUGUGAGAGAGCUUUGCGUCCCAUUAGCUAGUUGGAGAGGUAACAGCUCACCAAGGCGAUGAUGGGUAGCCGGCCUGAGAGGGUGAACGGCCACAAGGGGACUGAGACACGGCCCUUACUCCUACGGGAGGCAGCAGUGGGGAAUAUUGGACAAUGGACCGAGAGUCUGAUCCAGCAAUUCUGUGUGCACGAUGAAGUUUUUCGGAAUGUAAAGUGCUUUCAGUUGGGAAGAAAGAAAUGACGUACCAACAG
rnacentral:rRNA from 1 species